AGUCGAACGAUUGAAGCUGGAGCUUGCUCCGGCCGAUUUAGUGGCGGACGGGUGAGUAACGCGUGGGUAACCUGCCUCAUACAGGGGGAUAGCAGUUGGAAACGACUGGUAAAACCGCAUAAGCACACGGUAUCGCAUGAUACAGUGUGAAAAUACUCCGGUGGUAUGAGAUGGACCCGCGUCUGAUUAGCUAGUUGGUGAGGUAACGGCCCACCAAGGCGACGAUCAGUAGCCGGCCUGAGAGGGUGAACGGCCACAUUGGGACUGAGACACGGCCCAAACUCCUACGGGAGGCAGCAGUGGGGAAUAUUGCACAAUAGGGGAAACCCUGAUGCAGCGACGCCGCGUGAGUGAUGAAGUAUUUCGGUAUGUAAAGCUCUAUCAGCAGGGAAGAUAAUGACGGUACCUGACUAAGAAGCACCGGCUAAAUACGUGCCAGCAGCCGCGGUAAUACGUAUGGUGCAAGCGUUAUCCGGAUUUACUGGGUGUAAAGGGUGCGUAGGUGGCAAGGCAAGUCUGAAGUGAAAAUCCGGGGCUCAACCCCGGAACUGCUUUGGAAACUGUUUAGCUGGAGUACAGGAGAGGUAAGUGGAAUUCCUAGUGUAGCGGUGAAAUGCGUAGAUAUUAGGAGGAACACCAGUGGCGAAGGCGACUUACUGGACUGCUACUGACACUGAGGCACGAAAGCGUGGGGAGCAAACAGGAUUAGAUACCC
rnacentral:rRNA from 1 species